AGUGAUGAGGAGCUCUGGUUGUGUGUUCAGCACAGAAACAACAACUCUUCUACUAAUAAACAACUUCUCAGACUGGAAAUAUAUUUAUUUUAAUGCUUGAUUAAAAAAUGCAGAUUUCAAGGUUGAACAAUUUCUUGUGCUAAAUUCAGGAGCAAACAGAAAUAUGUAGAAGUCCAGAGUCAGGUCCACCUGUUACAUGUUCUAAAACAAUCACAAGUCUCCUCUCCAAACAUAAGUGUUUAUUCUUGUGGCGUAUUAAACUAGUUUUAACAUGUUUUUAUCAUACUUCUUGUGCCACAUAUUAAUUCCUGUGUCACUGGGAAUGCGAGAACAAGACAACAGACUUUGGUCAUUCCAGUGAGUCACAGGUUCAGAGCUUUCUGCUGGUCUUGCCCUAUCCUUCUUGACAGCUUCACAAAAGCCUCUUUUCACAGCAAUGACAGAGAUUUUCCCUCAAUAUACCUUUUCUGGGAACAGCAGCUUUAAUCUUUUUUGGAUUUUAUUCUAAACACUUCUGGGAACACUGUGUGAAUCCAGAGGAAGCCCCUGAUGCAGGACCAUUUGUGAAUGAGCCUUUCAAUGUUCUUUCACACAGAAGACACACAUCUCCGGAGCAGUCGUGAGCCCCCUGACACGAAGACGGCUAAAGUUCAUCUCAUUAACUCCUGACAAGCCCGCGCCCGCUCUGUCUGGCACAGGAAGUGGACUGAUUAAGGACUCCUGAUGCAAUCGAAGCUACGGUCCCCUUUCAAGAAAAAAAAAAAACAAGAGGUACACAUUCAAAUCUGUCCACAAGCACACACACACACACACACAUGCACGCACACACAAAUGCACCCCUGAGUCCACGUUGACAAAUUCUUUAACAAGCUGUGGUUAAAGGGAAGCUGGUUUUACUCUGACUCACCCCCCUCCUUUCAAACAGUUUACUGGAAAUAAAGAGGGAGGAGGAGGGAGGGGGCACUUUCAGAGAAGUCACGUGACGGGGCUGGGCAAACCACAGCACAGAGAGGCUUUGAGUGCAGUAGGCCAGGGGGGAAGGCAGGCAUACGCCCAGCGCAGAUGGCCCUGAUUUGAGUUACAAGAGAUACGAUCCUGGGAGUUGGCAAUCAAGAAUUCACAGCCUGUUAACCCUUUCCGCGCCAGAUGAAAAAAAAAAAAAAAAAAACCACACGGCAGGAAAUAACUUCAUAAUCAAGUUACAAGCAAUCACGGACACCCAUCCACGCGGGAUCUUCUCCCCAUGUCAAUGCUGAGGAUUCCUCUCCACAGCGCUCUCAUACCGAGCACUAGAUUUAAGAGGGGAAAAAAAAAAAAGAUGUUCAUGACAUCAGCGUCUGGAGCCGUUAGAAAAGGCAUGACUUCAUUAUUCUUGAAUAGCUCUGUUGAAUGAAUGAGAAAAAAAAACCCAGAGUGCUUUGCUGCUGUGCAUCACGUGCACUUGUGGCAGGAAGUUGGCACGUGCAGGCUGGGAGAAAUACCACUGGGUUUAAGUCAAAGUGCUGGCACCUACAAACCUCUGUGACUUUAGCGCAGGGGGACAAAGUCAGCAUCUGAAUCCAGCUCUGUUGCCACAGGGUGGACAGAAUGUGAGUGUGUGGUGAAGGGGGGGAAGAGUCUGGGUACGUAUGUGGAGCGGUGUGAGGUUCACGGGGGGUCACGUCCUGGACGACAACCACUUCUGUCUAACACACAGCGAUCCAACCAUAACAGUGUCUCCGUUCCAGUCCCAGUGGCGUCUCCUAUCACUUUGUCCUACUGCUACAGGUUUUCAUCCUUCAGUUGAAAAAACUCACAGCGGACGAAUACCUCCGUCCACCUGAAAAGAGUAAAAGGUAGACGAGAGAAAUCAGAUGUGUUGCGGGAUCUCCUUGAGCGAACGAGGGAAUCCCGAGAGCAUCCGAGCAACAGUAAAAGCCCUGGCGAGGGAAGAAAAAAUGUUUCCGUAUGUGGCAGGUCCCUGCUGGUGCAAGCAACCUGCCUCCAGAUGCUGUCCAAUCACACGCUACAUACAUCUAGACACAGCCGCUGCAUGUCAUGAGACAGCAAGAGAGAGGGAGAGAGAGAGAUGUAGUCUGAGACAGGGUUCGUGAGAAAGAAUAAGCAUAGGCGCAGAAAAGAUGUGAGAGAGAGAGAGGGAGAGGGAGAGAGAGAGAGAGAGAGAGAGAGAGAGAGAGCGAGAGAGCAAGGCUGUGCACUAAGACAGUAUCAUGCAGCGUCACUUCUAAUCUGCCCUUCCACGGAUGCGAACCAAGCAGGCGAUGCUCCUCCUGCGUCACACUGUUGGUUUGUUGGGGAAGGACAUGCAGGAGCUCCUCGGUGCCCAGACGGUCACGUAGACAGAAUCCGGUCUUUCCGACGCCAACCGUUUUGUGUCGCUCUUCCGCUGUCUCUGCUCUUCUUUUGUAGGAAUGGCCACUUUAUCAGUGAGUGAUGUCAGAGCUGCUCCCACAUGUGGUCUCCACUCCGGGGCUGAUGCUGGUGCCAGCCCACCCAGCUGACCACAGCGGUAGCUGCAGUGGACCUGAGGGCAGGUGCUGCACCUCUGCGUCUUGUCAACAAGCAGCCACAUAAGUUUGUGACUUCCUUUCAUUCGUUUCACGUUUAUUGUCUCAAACGAGCAUCUCAGUUUGUGCGCUGGGAGUCGGAGUACGCUAGCACUGCGCUCAUAAUGAAAGCAGCAGUUUCCUGCUCAGCAGUGCUAACUUUACUGAUACAGUAAAUCUACAGGAGCACAUUCAUCAAUUAUGAGUACUCAAGUGAUUCUGGUGCUUUCAUUAUUGACUCAAGGGCAACUGUAGAUAGUUGGAAAAAUCUUCUUAUUCCAUUUGAACAGCUGUAAAACACGAGGCAGGCACGAAGUAAAGCGCUAAAACGUAACUGCGACCACCUAU